rnacentral:misc_RNA from 1 species
AAGGAUGGUUACAAGUCAAUCCAUGAAGCUGUUGGAGCAGACUGCAGAUAGUUUUUGCUGUUGUCAUCCAGUCAUUUGAGCUCGAGGGGCUGACUACAUUUUUGCCGCAGUCUUAAUAAAACGAAAAUUUUGGUGCCUUCCCAUUUUGCCUCGUACAAUUUGCUACAUUAUUUGUGAUGCCUUUCAAAAAAUUUAGAUGUUUAUGGUUUACUUGUGGCAAGUGACUCAUUUUUUUCUUAAUGUAACAUAGUAACAAAAUUUUGGAUCUUUGGUUGAUAUUUUGUCUUUG